CAUACCAAUUCUCCUCAAACAUCAGUGGUGCGAUGGCUAUUGGAGGGGAUACUGAGGGGUAUGACUUAUAUGCAUUUGCAAAGGCAUGGCCUGUUUAUGGACAGUCAUCAGGGCUUUGUGCAGGUCUUACAAACUUGAUUGAGUAUUUUGAGGAGGUGAGACAGGUAAGAAAGGUAAAUUAGUGGAUUUCAUUUACGUGAAUAAUCAACCAUGGUUGAUUCAGAAGAUAAAGAUGCAUGGCAUCCAGGGUGAAUUGUCAAGUUUGGAUUCAGAACUGGCUUACCCAUAGAAAACAGAACAGGGCUGUAAGGCUACCGUGCUGGCUGGAGGUCCAUGACCAGUGGUGUUCUGCAAGGAUUGGUGCUGGGACUUCUGUUGUUUAUGACAUAUUUCUCUGAUUUGGAUGAACAAGUUUGCAGAUGACACCAAGGUUAAUGGAGUUAUGGUCAGACUAAAGGACUAUCAAAGGAUACAAGUGGAUAAAGAUCACUUACAAAGAGCGGAAGAUGGAGUUUAAUCGAGGGAAUUGUGAAAUGUUACACUUUGGGAGGUUAAAUGGAAUGGAAUUGACUUUAUUACUUACAUCCUUCAGAUACAUGAGGAGUAAAAAUAUUUACGUUACAUCUCCGUCUGCUUGAGUACUGUUGGGGGAAGCAACAGCGGCCGCACCUCUGGCACAGAGUUUGGCCCUGUGGCUCAGAAGGGUAGGGAAAGGGAGAAGAUGGCAGCAGUGAUAGGGGACUCUAUAGUUAGGAGGUCAGACAGGCGAUUCUGUGGACACAGGAAAGAAACGCGGAUGGUAGUUUGCCUCCCAGGUGUCAGGAUCCAGGAUGUUUCUGAUUACAUCCAUAAUAUCUUGAAGUGGGAAGAAGAACAGCCAGAGGUUGUGGUACAUAUUGGUACCAACAAAAUAGGUAGGAAAAGGGAGGAGGUCCUGAAAACAGACUACAGGGGAGUUAGGAAGGAAGUUGAGAAGCAGGACCUCAGAGGUUCUUGGGAUUCCUGUCUGUGCCACAUGACAAUGAGUAUAGAAAUAGAGUGAGGUGGAGAAUAAAUGCAUGGAUGAGGGAUUGAAGAAGGGGGCAGGGAUUCAGAUUUCUGGAUCAUUGGGACCUCUUUUGUGGCAAGUGUGUCCUGUACAAAAAGGAUGGGUUGCACUUGAAUCUCAGGGGGACCAAUAUCCUAGCAGGGAGGUUUGGUAAGGCUAUUGGGGAGAGUUUAAAUUAGAAUUGCUGGGGGUUGGGAACUGAACUGAAGAGACAGAGGAAGAGGCAGUUGGCUCAAAAAUAGAGAAAGCUUGGAGACAGUGCAACAGCGGGAGGAUAGGCAGGUGAUAGAGAAUGGACGCGCUCAGACUGAAGGGAGGAGUAUUAUGAACAAGGUGGACGAGCUUAGAGCGUGGAUCAGCACUUGGAGCUAUGAUGUUGUGGCCAUUACAAAGACUUGGAUGGUGCAGGGACAGAAAUGGCUACUUCAAGUGUCAGGCUUUAGAUGUUUCAGAAAGGACAGGGAAGGAGGCAAAAGAGAUGGGAGCAUGGCACUGUUGAUCAGGGAUAGUGUCACGGAUGCAGAAAAGGAGGAAGUCAUGGACAGAUUGUCUAGAGAGUCUGUGCAGGUGGAAGUUAGGAAUAGGAAGGGGUCAAUAACUCUACUGGGUGUUUUUUAUAGACCACUCAAUAGUAACAGGGACAUCGAGGAGCGAUAGGGAGACAUUCUACAAAGGUGUAAUAAUAACAGGGUUGUUGUGGUGAGAGAUUUUAAUUUCCUAAAUAUUGAUUGGCAUCUCCCUAGAGUGAGGGGUUUAGAUGGGGUGCAGUUUGUUAGGUGUGUUCAGGAAGAUUUCGUGACACAAUAUGUAGAUAAGCCUAAAAGAGGAGAGGCUGUACUUGAUCAGGUAUUAGGAAAUGAACCUGGUCAGGUAUUAGGUCUCUCAGUGGGAGAGCAUUUUAGAGAUAGUGAUUACAAUUCUGUCUCCUUUCCCAUAACAUUGGAGAAGGAUAGGAACAGACAAGUCAGGGAAAUGUUUAAUUGGAGUAAGGAGAAAUAUGAGGCUAUCACAGGAACCUGGAAGCAUAAAUUGGAAACAGAUGCUCUCAGGGAAACAUACGGAAGAAAUGUGGCAUUUAAAAUGGCGACUUUGUUAUAUUAAUCUGGGGAAUGCAGCUUUGUUGUGCUUUAACGCUGAAGAGAGUUUACACUAGCAGUUUGUUUACUUUAAAAUGAGAUAACAGGGUUCUAAUUAGCCAGUGGGUGGUUAUGUAUCGUUUUGUUUUCGGAUGCCAUGCUAUAUGAUAUGACUGUGGACUGAGUUUUGGCAGGGAGUCGGAGGAGAGACGAGGAAGACCGCGGACGUGUGGAGAGGCUCCGGUCGAUCACUCAGGGUGGUCCCGAGCCGUGAGUCGACGGAAUUCGAGUGGUCGUCUGAAGUCGAAUUGAGUUCCAAUGUAGCGUGCAAAGAACUUGGACUUUGAUAAGUAUUCCUGAAGAGUGUAUCUAUGAUGCUGAGAACUGAGAACUUUUGGCAAGGAGCCUUUGGAGGCACGGUGACACUGGUAGGAGGGCUCACAGUACCCCUUUCUGGUAUAAACAGAUCAAAAGACAUUCAUAGUGCCAAGAGACUCAACUCCCAACAAGCACAUUGGGCACACUUCUUCACCUGGUUUAAUUUCACCUUCACCUACCAUCCUGGGUGCACGAAUGUCAAGGCCAACUCUCUCUCCUGUCAGUUUGACAUCUCUGAAGACAACACCAAUCCAAGGCCCAUCUUUCCUCCCUUGUGCAUAGCUGUUCUGAUGAUUUGUGAAAAAGAAACAGAGGUGAUGGUUGUCCAAUACUCAGCUCAAGGUCCAGAUGGGUGCUCUCAACCGACUGUUUGUCCCUGCCACUAUGCACUCCAGGGUGUUGGAGUGGGGUCACUCUUCUUGUCUGGUUGGCCAUCCAGGGAUUCAACAGACUCUGGAGUUUAUAAAGAAACAAUUUUGGUGACUACUCUAUGCCCAAAAAUGUCCAUGACUUCAUCUAUGUCUGUCCCAGUUUUGCCCAGAACAAGACAUCACGUCUGUGCCCUUCUGGUCUGCUCUGCCUACUGUCUGUGCUUCACUGCCCCUGGUCCCACCUCGAAGUGUAUUUUAUCACUGGUCUGCUUCUAUCAGAUGGGAAUAUACCAUUCUGAUAUUUGUAGACUGGGUCUCCAAAGAAGCACACUUCAUUCCUCUCCUCAAGCUGCAUCAGCUUCUGCCACCGCCACCCUCACGGUUCAGCACGUGUUCUGACUACAUGGCUUCCCUCAGAACUUAGUGUCUGAUUAAGUAGCAUCAUUCAUGUCCUGACUUUGGAAGGCUUUCUGUUCUGUUUUGGGAGCCACGGCCAUCCUCUCAUCAAGUUUCCACCACCAAUAUAAUGGCCAGAGUGACAAAGUGAAUCACCAAGUGGAGACAACCCUGUACUGCCUUGUCUCUUCCAAACCCACAACUUGGAGCUCCCACAAGGAAAUCUGCAGAUGCUGGAAAUUCAAGCAACACAGAUCAAAGUUGCUGGUGAACGUAGCAGGCCGGGCAGCAUCAGAGAAUGUCCAUAAUAAACUCCAGUCAUCUUCCAUUGGCAUGUCCCUAUUUGAAUGCCAAUAGGGACUCCAGCUAAUGCUCCUUCCUGACCAAGAGACUGAUGUGGGGGUUCCUGCUGCUGAACAGUUGGCCCACUGCUACAAUCGUUCAUGGAGACAGGCAGGGCUUCCCUGCUGCAUACUCAGAAACAAUAUACCUCGCAGUCUGAUCAGCUCUACCAACAGGUGAGGCCUCUCAAGUCAGGAGAAAACGUCUGGCUGGCAUCUGGAGAUCAUCUGUUGACAGUGAGAGCUGCAAGUUGGCCUCACGCUGUGUAUAUCGACCAUUCGAGAGUGGAGAAGGCUAUCAACAGAACUUCCUAUGGACUACCUUCAUCAACGAAGAUUUACACAGUGUUCCAUGUUUCUAAGCUCAAGCUGGUGUCUUCCUCCCCACUUGCUCCAGUCAACACCCUCCCCUUUCUCUCUGAUACAUUUGGGGGCUCAACGCAAGAAGCAUCGUAGGAAAGGUGGAUGAAGAUGAGGUAGCUGGUUUACCUACAGAGGUAAUGUGUCGUGAGAAGCAACUGUUGAGAGGGCAAAACUGCA